rnacentral:rRNA from 1 species
GACGAACGCUGGCGGCGUGCUUAACACAUGCAAGUCGAGCGGUAAGGCCCUUUCGGGGGUACACGAGCGGCGAACGGGUGAGUAACACGUGGGUGACCUGCCCUUAGCUCUGGGAUAAGCCUGGGAAACUGGGUCUAAUACCGGAUAUGACUCCAUGACGCAUGUUGUGGGGUGGAAAGCCUUGUGCGGCUAGGGGAUGGGCCCGCGGCCUAUCAGCUUGUUGGUGGGGUGAUGGCCACCAAGGCGACGACGGGUAGCCGGCCUGAGAGGGCGACCGGCCACACUGGGACUGAGACACGGCCCAGACUCCUACGAGAGGCAGCAGUGGGGAAUCUUGCGCAAUGGGCGAAAGCCUGACGCAGCGACGCCGCGUGGGGAUGACGGCCUCGG